CGUAAUGCGCAUGCAAUCUACUUUACACUGGGGAAUAGCCUCCGGAAACGGGAAUUAAUACCCCAUAUAAUCUUACUGGCGCAUGCUAGAAAGAUGAAAGCUCAGGCGGUGUAAAAUGAGCGUGCGUCCUAUUAGCCAGUUGGAGAGGUAAUGGCUCACCAAGGCUACGAUGGGUAGGGGUUCUUAGUGGAAGGUCCCCCACACUGGCACUGAGAUACGGGCCAG
rnacentral:rRNA from 1 species